UUGGCCCAGAUCGUUUACCGUGAAAAAAUUAGAGUGUUCAAAGCGGGCAGAUAUUUUUCCUGCCACCGAAUACAUUAGCAUGGGAUAAUGGAAUAGGACCCUGACCUCCUAUUUUCAGUUGGUUUUGUUUACAGCGAGGUUAUAUCAGGGUAAUGAUUAAUAGGGAUAGUUGGGGGCAUUAAUAUUUAAUUGUCAGAGGUGAAAUUCUUGGAUUUAUGAAAGAUUAACUUCUGCGAAAGCGUUUGCCAAGGAUGUUUUCAUUAAUCAAGAACGAAAGUUAGGGGAUCGAAGACGAUCAGAUACCGUCGUAGUCUUAACCAUAAACGAUGCCGACCAGCGAUUAGGAGACGUUGAAUACAAAACACCGCUGUUAAUCCUUUCGGGGGUUAAUAGUUGGUGAAUGACUCCCUAGCAGCUUGUGAGAA
rnacentral:rRNA from 1 species